UUUUUUUUUUUUUUUUAAAUGAGAUUUCAACUGUUUCAUAUAUUGUUAUUAGUGUAUUCUUAUUCUUCUGUUUCUGGGUCGUUCAAUAUUUGUAGUGCUUAGAGUUAAGUUAACAGUAGUGGCAUUUGUUGCUCUCAAGUCUCUUUUUGCUAGAGAGAGGGUUUUUCAUUUCCAUUUGGCUGGAGCUUUCCCAGCUCUAUGCACUGAAUUCCCUCUUGUGGAUUUUUCACUUGCUUGAUUUACUCCAUGCUAUUAUCUUGUCUGGACUCUUACCUGGCUUGUAACCAGAGAAUCUUUUUGUAACAUGUGUACAUUGCUUGUGAAAAUGCAAAAAUUUGCAUUAGGCCACGGAGUUAUAUCUUAUCAAGCAUGUUGUGGAUGUAGCAGAUUUUCUACUGAUUAGUUAAUGACCAAAGAGUCCACAGAAGAGCAAGUUUUGUUGUUCUUAAGUAUGCCAAGUGGAGUUUGUGGACUUGUAUCUGACCAAAAAAAGGUGGUAUAAUAAAUAUAGAUGCAGCUGUUCUAGUAUUUUUAUGGAGCCUUUGGGAUUAAGGCUUAGUUCCUCUUCUGGUUGUUACCGUUGGCAAUGACCCAACAUAUAUAGUGUGUUUAAAUGUGGGAGUAUAGGUACUCUGUAUUUUAGGACAUGUGCCACUGCAUAUUUUCCUUCUUUAGUUGGGUUGAAAAGUGCUUGUUGGUAUCAAGGUCUCAAAUAUUGUGACGGGUCUUACUAUUGAUACCAAUAUCGCAUUUAGUCUGUGAAAUUUUUAACCAUGGUGGAAGAUUGAUUGAUUGUAUAGUCUUAUUCAACAUUAUUAAUUAAAUUUCUUAUUAUCAGUUAAAGUUGAUGAGGUUUAAAUAUCUUGCAAGUUCUUCCAUGUUUUAGAGUUUUCCACCAAUCCUUUCUUUUGUAUUUUCCUACUCUCUUUUGGUAGAAAUUUAUGAAUGUCCAAACACAAAUGUGUAAGAGAAGGGCGUAGUAUGAGUUUGUUUAUUCUGUUUUUUGGAUAAAUUACUUGGACAUGUGAACUUUUAUAGUGUAAAAUUCACUAUAGAUUAAUGGUUUUGCUAUGAUUGAUGUAUUCUUACAAGUCAAAAACUAAAAUGUUUGGUGUCUCCUCAGUAUUUGUAUUAUUAAUUUAUUGGUUAGUGUUGAUAUUUCUCUUUCUUGGGGCAAGGAAACUGUAGGGAUGUGCAAACGGUUGAUUUGGUUUUGAACUGAACCAAUAAACUGAAUAACUGUAUGGCUAAACUAUGAGAGCCAAAUUGAUUAAUUAGGUUCGGUAAUUCGGUUUUGGCUACUCUCCCCGUCAACAAAUACAAGGCAAAAAACAAAAUUCAUGCCCAAUUGCUCAUCAGUCAUCUUCUCAAAAAUUUCUGCAACAAACUACUCAACAAUCACAAACCAAUGAUUCCAAUAAAUCACAAAUCAACAACCAACAACCAAAGCUCAUAAAGAAAAAUCAAAAUUCCAAUUAAACUAGCAAUUCAAUUGAAAACAAAAAAAUUAACAAUCACACAUCUGAACUUCCCUUUAAUCACAAACAACCAAUAACCCACCAAUUUCAAUCUUAAAUAUCCAGCAAAAUCCCAAAGAAAAACCCCCAAAUUUCUCAUUAAUUUCACUGUCAACAAGAACAGAGGAUGGAGGACAGAAGGACCUUUUGUGGUAAGAAGAAUGAGCAGGAAUGGAGCAAAAGGGUUGGAUGAAACCUUCAAGUUGAGGUGAAAGGGAGUGACUACAUUGAGAUGAAAGGGAGCGACAGCGUCGAGUUGAGGCGACUUUGAGGCGGAGCAAGGACGCUGAGGAGGAGGAUGGCUGAUGGCAACAUGUGAUGCCUUGAGAGAGGGAGGGAUAGAGGUGAGAGGUAGAGAAAUCGGUCAGUGGAGUGUGGGCAGUGGGUUGGAGAUCUGUUGGGAAUGAGAAAGAGAAACUAGGUGAAGGGUUAUUAAUAUAUAGGCAGUAAAACGACAUAGCAUGACAUAUAUAGGUUCGGUUAUUUUGGUUUUUUAACCUUAAUAACCGAACAGAAUAACUAAAUUUUCCUAAAACAACAAAUCAAAUUGAACAGUGUAGACCCAAAAGCUGAACUGGAAAAUCAAAUUUGAAUGGUUCUGUGCAGUUUUUAAUGGUCCUCGCAAAAGGGGAGGGUGUAACUUUGCUGUAGAGUGACACCUUGAUAUUCCAUUCCUAUUUUGUGUUGUACUCAUGUAUUUUGAAGGGGCUCUUUUUCUGUGGUAGUGUAGUCAGUUGGGAGUUUCAG
rnacentral:misc_RNA from 1 species